rnacentral:sRNA from 1 species
ACUUCGUGACCUUCCGCGACGAUACGUCGAAUGAGUUCCGGCU